GCCAGCAUGGCAUAGUGAUUUGAGUAUUGGAUUGUGAUUCUGAAGAUCAGGGUUCGAUCCCCUUUUUGGCC